rnacentral:rRNA from 1 species
AGAACGAACGCUGGCGGCAUGCCUAACACAUGCAAGUCGAACGAGACCUUCGGGUCUAGUGGCGCACGGGUGCGUAACGCGUGGGAAUCUGCCCUUGGGUACGGAAUAACAGUGGGAAACUACUGCUAAUACCGUAUAAUGACUUCGGUCCAAAGAUUUAUCGCCCAGGGAUGAGCCCGCGUAGGAUUAGCUUGUUGGUGAGGUAAGAGCUCACCAAGGCGACGAUCCUUAGCUGGUCUGAGAGGAUGAUCAGCCACACUGGGACUGAGACACGGCCCAGACUCCUACGGGAGGCAGCAGUGGGGAAUAUUGGACAAUGGGCGAAAGCCUGAUCCAGCAAUGCCGCGUGAGUGAUGAAGGCCUUAGGUUGUAAAGCUCUUUUGCCCGGGAUGAUAAUGACAGUACCGGAGAAUAAGCUCCGGCUAACUCCGUGCCAGCAGCCGC